rnacentral:rRNA from 1 species
UACAGAGGUCCCAAGCGUUGUUCGGAAUUACUGGGCGUAAAGGGCUCGUAGGCGGCCAACUAAGUCAGACGUGAAAUCCCUCAGCUUAACUGGGGAACUGCGUCUGAUACUGGAUGGCUUGGAUCCGGGAGAGGGAUGCGGAAUUCCAGGUGUAGCGGUGAAAUGCGUAGAUAUCUGGAGGAACACCGGUGGCGAAGGCGGCAUCCUGGACCGGUAUUGACGCUGAGGAGCGAAAGCCAGGGGAGCAAACGGG